UGGGACUACAGGCAUGAGCCAUCACACCCAGCUAGUUUUUUGUAUUUUUAGUAGAGACGGGGUUUUGCCAUGUUGGCCAGGCUGAUCUCGAAGUCCUGACCUCAAGUGGUCUGCCCGCCUCUGUUCCCCAAAGUGCUGGGAUUCCAGGUGUGAGCCACCAUGGCCGACCACAUUUGAUGUUUGAAGUUGUAAUCUGUCCCAUCAUAAACUUACCUGGAGCUCAUGUGGAGGAACAGAAGGCCAAGGUCCUUGCUUUGGGAGUGCCUCACAAAGCAUCCCUGUGGACACAUGGCCCCAGCUUCACUGCUUGGAAGCAAGUCUCUCCCUCCUGAGUUGGCUCUGAUUUGAAACCAGGAGAAACAGAGCUGCUGCCAAUGGGAUCUUUUAGGUAACCCCCUCUCCAGCUUCCAUGUGUCUGUGCAGUGCCCAUGAGUUGCUGCCAGUGGGAUCUCUUAGGUACCCCCGCCCCCCAGCUUCCCUGUGGCUGUGUAGAUGUCCUCUCACCCACCCUGUGCUGGUGUCUAAAAAAUUUAUCUUGUCAUGCUCAAAUGUGUUUGGCAGCCACACUGAUCGGCUGGGUGCUGAACCACCGCUCUGUAAUUGUAGCAUCAAAAUGACAACAGCAGCAGAGCGGCAAAUCUUGCCCAGCCCCACAGCAUGCCUGAGACAAGACUCCAACAAGUAAUAAUUAACUUUUUUCUCCUGCCGCCUACAGUACCUGUCUAACUAAAGAGCUUCCCAAAGUGGAGGGAAAGGCCAUAGAGAGAAUCCAGGUGUUAUUCAGAGUCAGUCCUUGCUGAAAUGUGGUCUUCCAGUGGAAGCACCUGUAUUCUUGGGAGGAAAAAGUGCUGGAUGCAAAGUAACACCAGGACCAGAGAGAAAGAGGAAGGUGAACUAUCCUAAGGAGCUUUGGAUACUUUUUUAGAAGGAUAAAUAUUGUGCUUACUGAGGAGAAAAAAAAAAAACCAAUCACAGAAAAAUUUCACAGCUAAUAUUUUUACAAAAGUUGUGCCGGAAUUACAAAAUGUCUCUCAAGGUGGAAUGCUUUAGAGAACAAAGGCUUAGCACAGGCCCAGACCCUUGUGUGGGUAUGACAUGAUGUGACAUGUACAUGUCAAAAUUCGCUUUAGUAUAGUCAGAACCAGAGUACUGAUAAACAAAAUGUUAGUUACCUGGAGCAGUCCUGGAGAGGCUAAGACAUCCUAUACUGUUGUACAUCAACCAUUUCUACAAAGUUAUCCAGACACCUAAAAGCAGCUUUCUUGGUUAUCCAGAUCCAGUUUCUUGGUUAUGCCAGAAUCAGCCUUGUAUCUGACAAUGCACAUCUGUUGAUUUUAAAGUAUAUUUGUGUGUGUGUAUAUACAGCACAUAUUUACAUCUAUGAAGACACAGACACUCAUAGAGACCCACAUGAGCUGCCACUUGCUGAGCCUUUACAGCCUUUAAGACUUGGAGGUUGAGAAUUAGAGACAGAAGAGAGGCUGUUGAUGGCCUAUUAAAAUGAUCAAAGAUGUAAAUUCAGUGCCAUUUAAAAACUGUUCAUACUUAUCAAAUGAUUAUCUGCAGCUACAUUCUUUGUUAACUUAUUUAAAGUCAUGUUGCAAAAAAGGUCAAACCCAUGAAUGCUUAGUAGCUAAGGCUAGUGUUCAGAAGCACUCUAAAAGACAUUUUGUCCACAUUUUGGAAAAGAAAAUAUUUGCAUGUUUAAUCAUAAUUUAGACUACCUUUGAGUAUACUGUAAAGUGCUGUGUGAUAUAAUAUCAAUAAAGUACUUAUUAAAUG
rnacentral:lncRNA from 1 species